rnacentral:Y_RNA from 1 species
GAUUGGUUCGAAAGCAGUGAGUUAUCUCCAAUUGAUUUUACGCAGUCAAUUACAGAUUGGACUCCUAGUUCUACUCUUUCCCCCUUUUAUUACUGCACUUCAUUAGUCAUAA